rnacentral:rRNA from 1 species
GACCAGACUCCUACGGGAGGCAGCAGUGGGGAAUAUUGCACAAUGGGGGAAACCCUGAUGCAGCAACGCCGCGUGAGUGAAGAAGUAUUUCGGUAUGUAAAGCUCUAUCAGCAGGGAAGAAGAUGACGGUACCUGAUUAAGAAGCCCCGGCUAACUACGUGCCAGCAGCCGCGGUAAUACGUAGGGGGCAAGCGUUAUCUGGAUUUACUGGGUGUAAAGGGGGCGCAGACGGCGAUGCAAGCCAGGAGUGAAAGCCCGGGGCCCAACCCCGGGACUGCUCUUGGAACUGCGUGGCUGGAGUGCAGGAGGGGCAGGCGGAAUUCCUGGUGUAGCGGUGAAAUGCGUAGAUAUCAGGAGGAACACCGGCGGCGAAGGCGGCCUGCUGGAUCGCGACUGACGUUGAGGCUCGAAAGCGUGGGGAGCGAACAGGAUUAGAUGCCCCGGUAUG